rnacentral:rRNA from 1 species
AGACAGGAGGAGCGAGCGUUAUUCAGCAUGAUUGGGCGUAAAGGGUACGUAGGUGGUCAAUCAAAGUGAUGGUGAAAUUCAAGGAUAUAAAUCUCGUUGGAGGGCUUUCACAAUUAAUUGACUUGAGUAGUGGAGAUGUUUGCGAGAACUGCCCGAGGAGUGCUAAAAUACGGAGAUACGGGUAGGAAUACUGAAUGCGAAAGCAACAAACGAUUUACUAACUGACGCUGAGGUACGAAAGCGUGGGGAGCAAACGGGAUUAGAGACCCCGGUAGUCCACGCUGUAAACGAUGAGUGUUAGAUCCACUGUUUAAUGCUUUGGUUCGAAUUAAACGAAGAAACACUCCGCCUGGGGAGUACGGCCGCAAGGUUGAAACUCAAAGGAAUUGGCGGGG